rnacentral:rRNA from 1 species
UACGUAGGUGGCAAGCGUUGUCCGGAUUUACUGGGCGUAAAGAGCGCGCAGGCGGUCGUUCAAGUCGAGUGUGAAAGCCCCCGGCUCAACUGGGGAGGGUCACGCGAUACUGAUCGACUCGAAGGCAGGAGAGGGAAGUGGAAUUCCCGGUGUAGUGGUGAAAUGCGUAGAUAUCGGGAGGAACACCAGUGGCGAAGGCGGCCAGCUGGGCCGUCCCUGACGCUGAGGCGCGAAGGCGUGGGGAGCGAACGGG